UGGGAGGUUGCGCGCGGCUGCGGCCGCCAUGAGGGGCGCGGUGGCGGCCAGGUCCCGGUUGAAGCCCCCCCCCCGGAUCCAGAGCUGGGACCAGGCAGGUGACGGCGAGGGACCACCGGCGCGGACGCGGGUGACAAUAAAGCGGUGACA